UUCAGUGAAACAAUGAACAUCUUGUUGUCCUUACUGUUGCUAGUAUGUCCGCUGCCACCCUUUCAUAGCCAGCCCCUCUGAAAUUGUGUUAAUCCAGCCUCCAGGUCCAAGGCUACAUGGCUCACAUUCAGUGACUGAUGGACAUGGGGCUACAAAGGACGAGUUCUUUCUUUUGAACUCAAGACCACUAUGGAGGACCAUUCUUCUUCCAAAUUUUUCCUGUGGGCUCAGUUUAGGAUGUAGCUACCCAACACUUUCUUUCCCUUCUCCUUUACAGAUGUUGAUCCCAGAGAUUUCUAAUAAACAUUGUGCAGGAAAAAAAAAAAAAAAGAAAAAAGAAAAAAAGAAAACAUUGGCAAGCUUAGGGUUAAACAAAACUAAAAUGAAAAUAAAAUAAAUUUAAAAAAAGAACAGAAUCAAACCAGAAAUAGUCCUCUUAACCACACCUGCUAAACCUUUUUUAACGAGUUCCCUAGUGUGGAAGAAUUGGGUAAAAUAUAUAAAUGAACAUCAAUCCUUUUCUAGACAUUAUACUUUUCUUUAUAUGAGCAUACCUCUGAGAUAUUCUGGGUUUGGUUCCAGACCACUGCAAUAAACAAUUGCAAUAAUGCAAGUCACAAGAACUUUCGUUUCCAAGUGCAUAUAAAGUUAUAUUUGCACUAUAGUGUAGUCUACUAGGUGUGCAAUAGCAUUUUGUCUUAAAAAACUGUGUCUUAAUUUUAAAACUACUUUAUGCUAAAAAGAUGCUAACAAUUAUCUGAGCCUUCUGUGAGUUGUAAUCUUUUUGCUGAUGGAGGGUCUUGCCUCCACAUUCAUGUCUACUGACUGAUCAGGGUGGUGAUUGCUGAAGACUGAGGUGGCUGUGGCAAUUUUUAAAAAUAAGACAACAACGAAGUUUGUCUUAUUGACUGACUCUUCCUUUUGUGAAAGAUUUGUCUGGACUAUGUGAUGCUGUUGGAUAGCAUUUACCCAUAGUAGAAUUUAUUUCAAAAUUGGAGUCAAUCCUCUCGAACCCUGCUGCUGCUUUAUCAACUACAUUUCUGUAACCUUCUAAAUCCUUUGUUGCCAUUUCAACAGCUUGGCUAACUGGUGCAAGAGGCCUAGCUUUCGGCCCAUCUCAGCUUUCAACACAACUUUCCUCACUAAGCUUAAUCAUUUCUAGCUUUUGAUUUAAGCUAGAUCAACAUGUGAGUCUUCCUUUCACUUGAACACUUAGAGGUCAUCGUUGGGAUAUUAACUGGCCUAAUUUCAAUAUUGUGUGCCUCAGGGAAUAGGGAGACCAGAGGAGAGGGGCGGGUCCUUGGAGCAGUCAGAACACCCACAACAUUUAUCAGAUAAGUUCGC
rnacentral:lncRNA from 10 species